rnacentral:tRNA from 1 species
GGGGUAUUCGUAUAAAGGGAAUACAACUUGCUUGCACCGAGUAGAUACUGGUUCGAUUCCAGUAUACUCCACCU